rnacentral:rRNA from 2 species
UUAAGUGACGAUAGCCUAGGAGAUACACCUGUACCCAUGCCGAACACAGAAGUUAAGCCCUAGAACGCCGGAAGUAGUUGGGGGUUGCCCCCUGUGAG